rnacentral:rRNA from 1 species
UACGUAGGAGACGAGCGUUGUCCGGAGUUACUGGGCGUAAAGGGUGCGCAGGCGGCUGCGCGCGUGUGCGGUGAAACCUCCAGGCUCAACCUGGAGACGCCACCCGAUACUGCUAUAGCUUGAGUCCGGUAGGGGAGCGUGGAAUUCCUGGUGUAGCGGUGAAAUGCGCAGAUAUCAGGAGGAACACCAGCGGCGAAGGCGGCGCUCUGGGCCGGUACUGACACUGAGGAGCGAAAGCGUGGGGAGCAAACAGG